UAACUCCGUGCCAGCAGCCGCGGUAAUACGGAGGGUGCGAGCGUUAAUCGGAAGUUACUGGGCGUAAAGACGCAUGCAGGUGGUUUGGUUUAAGUUCAGAUGUGAAAGACCCGGGGCGUCAACCUCGGAAUAGCAUUUGUAAACUAGGCAGACUAGAGUACUGUAGAGGGGGGUAGGAAGUUUCAGGUGUAGCGGUGAAAUGCGUAGAGAUCUGAAGGAAUACCGGUGGCGAAGGCGGCCCCCUCGGACAGAUACUGACACUCAGAUGCGAAAGCGUGGGGAGCAAACAGGAUUAGAUACCCCUGGUAG
rnacentral:rRNA from 1 species